rnacentral:misc_RNA from 1 species
GAUUUGUUUUGGGUUCGUUUAUGGAACUUAUUAGGAGUUUGUUCUCUUGUUCGUUUUCACUUGGUUUUUAACUUUACUGAUACAGGGUUGGUUGAUUUCGUUGCUUUGAUUUUAUUAUGUGCCAAACUUGCUUGAUUUAUUUCAUACUCUUUUGUUGAUUUACCGAUUUACUCCGUUUCUUACAUGGUUGCAUUCCCUGCAAUUCCACUCUAAUUUU